UACGUAGGUGGCAAGCGAUACUCGAAAUCACUAGGCGUAAAGCGCAGGUAGGUGGUUUGGUAAGUCUGUUGUGAAAGCUCCCGGCUUAACUGGGAGAGGUCAACGGAAACUACCAGGCUAGAGUGCGGUAGAGGUAGCUGGAAUUCCCGGUGUAGCGGUGAAAUGCGUAGAUAUCGGGAGGAAUACCUAUGGCGAAAGCAGGCUACUGGACCGUCACUGACUCUGAUCUGCGAAAGCUGGGGGAGCAAACAGG
rnacentral:rRNA from 1 species